GCACGAGUAACUCAAUGGUAGAGUAUCUGGUUCCCAACCAGAAGGUUGCGAGUUCGAAUCUCGUCUCGUGCU
rnacentral:tRNA from 1 species